CUGCAUUCAAAACCUCUCUCCUCCGCAAAUCACAUCAUUCAAAUAUUUUUUUUCUUACAACUAAUUAAAUCAACUAUCUUCAUAUAGAAGUCUUUUUUUGUUUAACAUGAGAAAUAAAGACUUUUUUUUAGAAAGAGAAUGAGAGGGAAAUUGCAGCUAAAAUAUCCACAAUGUUUGACCUAGUAGUGAUUUUGGUUUCAAAAUAAUUUUCAACCAUUGAGCACACAUUCAAGUUCCUCAAUCAAACACACCCUAAAAAAAUAUAUAAAAAAUCAGUAAGGUCAUAUCAUAUGAUAUCAUCUAGUUAGGAAAACGAAAAAACAAUCUAUUUUAUGUAGUAGGAAGACUCUGAACAAAUUCUUGGAACACUAUGACUCAAACAAAAUACUAGGCCUUGGAUAUUUUUUGACAAAUGAUAGAUGUUUGAGAUGUAUUAUUCCUAAAAUUGGAGAAAUUGAACGGUUGAUCUAAAAGUCAACAAGUUGUGAGAGAUUUUUUAGUGUGAUUGAAACACGGGUGAUAAUUCACGUGUCACUAUACAAAUGAUGGGAUAUGUGUUUUAUUAAGUUAAUAACUUAAAAAAUACAAUUUCCCAUCACUUAUAAAAACACAUGGUGUACCACUCACAAUGAAAAAUUUCUCCACAAGUGUUUGUAGGUUUGAAGUGUUAAUAACAAAAUUCAAAUUUUGUUAAAAUAAAGGGUGUCGUUGGAGAUGAAAAGUUAAAUCAAGGUUCUAAAAAACGCUAGGCACUAGUCAGGUGGUGGGCUAGCGCCUAGCGCCUAGGCGGAUUUAGGUAAAUUUCUUAUAUAUUUUAUGAAUUAAUUAAAUUUACUAUAUCAAAUGUAAAUAAUUAUUGACUAAUAUGCUAUUUCUUAUAGAAGAACAUACAUAUGUGAAUGUUUUAUGUACAUAUAUGAUAUGCUUGCCUAGGAAAAAAAACAAAAUAUUAUCUAAAUAAUUUAUAAUUUAUAUAAGAUUUACACACACACACACAAUAUAUAUAUAUAUAUAUAUAUAUAUAUCCCAAACUUUUAAAAAUAUAAAAAGCCCACACAGUGGGCGAUGUUCAUUGUUAAAACCAUCAAACCGUCCACCUUCUUUCACAUCACCCGACCACCUUUCACAAGUGGGUGGUUUUCAUGAUUAAAACCAUCACGGUCCAUGGUUUUCAAUUUUAAAACCAUCAAAUGUCCACCUCACCUCUGCUCUUUCACAUUACCCAAGCUUUUGAGUCCUCAAAGUGCACCACCACCACAUACUGAAAUGUUUAAGACAUACUGAAAUGUUUAAGUCUCUCUCUCUCUGCACUCUCUCUUCUCUGCUCUCAUCUUCACAGACGAGUUGCAGAAAUUAUCUGGCAACACUUUUUCUUCCCUCAUCUUCACAGAGACAAGUUGCAAAAAUUCAUCGGCAGUCUUUCCCUCUCUCUCUUUGCACUCGCUCUUCCCUCAUCUUCUUAGAGACGAGCUACAAAACUUUUCCGGGGCUCUGCUGCUACGUACAAGAUCGAAAGUUGUAGAUCAUUUGCGAAAAUUGCAGCAAGUUUGGGAUUUGCAACAAGAUUCAAACCGCCUAGCGUCGCCUAGCCCGCCUCAGGUGCCUAGCGAGCGCCUAGGCGGCCGCCUAUGUCCUCCUCGCCUAACUGAACGUUUUAGUCUAAAUUGGGUUAAAGCUCCGCUGCCCAGCUCCUAAGCGGCCGCCUAGGCCGAUUUUUAGAACACUGAGUUAAAUUGAGUUUUUUACACUGUUUACUUGCUAGUUUAACAAAAAUUUAGGAUUUCUCUUGGAGAUGCUCUAACACUUUCAUUUGUUAAACAAUGUCAAAUAUUAUAUUUAUAUAAAUAGGAAAAGAUAAUACUUGCAUCCUCGUGUGGGGAUGCAUUCAUUUGCGAAAUAGCAUAUCUUGACUGAAUAGAUCAACAAUCGCAACCGUCUUUUUUAUUAAUCUUUAUUUGGAGAUCACUCGUACAAAAAUCAUUCGAAUUAAAACGUAUCAAAUAAAUGAACAGUUUAUUAUGAAUAUAUUAUUUUGUACUCCCACAUCUAUUUGUUUUAUACAUUUAAAUGACUAAAUGAUCUCCGAUUAAAAUGAUUUUUUUUUGUAGGGGUGGCCUUCAAAUAAAGAUUAAGAAGUUAAAUGAUUUUUUCAAUCAUUGAUUUUAUUCGGUUAAGAUACAUUAUUUGUAAAUGAAGAUAUGUGCAUCGCCACAUAGAAGAUGCAAGUAUUAUGGGUAAAUUACAUUUUACAUGUGAUUACAACCUCAUACAUCAUCUUUAAAACAUUACAAUUUAAUACACCAAAUAUGAUUUAGUUGCAAUUUCAUACAAUCCGUUACAUAAUCUAUUAGAUUGGCUGUUAAGUGAUGAUAUGACAGAUAUGUGACCCAGUUUUUAAUGAGGUGGAUGUCAACUUUGCGCCAUGUUGAUAAUUUUUUUAAUAAAAUAUAAGUUAUAAAAUAUAAAAAAUUAUUAUUAUUUGAAAUAUUUAACAAAUAAUUAAAAUGUCAAAAUAAUAAUAAUAAUAAUAAUAAUAAUAAUAAUAAUAAUAAUAAUAAUCAACCCCACCCUACCUCUGCACCAGACCGUUCUUCUCUCUGAUCAACUCCUCCUCCGCUCCUCCACCAUCCCCACACCUUUUCUCCCUCUGAUCAACCCCAUCUUCCAUAACCACCAAGAACACGCCUCUCCAUCAACAUUAACCCUCGACACCACACCCUCACCCAUAACCAAAUUGCAACAAUUGCAAUCCAAAAAUUCAAAUCUGGUGUGGUUUGAAAUUGGGAAUUUCGGGAAUCAGUCGAAAUUGAAAGCCUCAGUGGUUGAAAUAGGAAACCUAAGUCGUCACAUGGGAGAGAGAACGGUGGGUGUGGUGGCGGAUCAACGGAGGAGGUGGCAACUUUGUCAUGGCGACAGCUCUGAGGUGAGUGGGUUUUUCCUGUUCUUCUUGUCAUUCAAUUGCGAACCCAUCUGGAACCAGAUGGUGUCAUUUUUUUUUCUUUGAAACCCCACUUGUACACAUCCCACUCCAGAUUCAUUGAUCUCUCCUUCCCAGAAGCCAAAAAAUGAAAAUUUAUAAGGUGGAGCAGAGAGUGAUGGGUCUUGGGCUAUUUUGGGAAGAUGUUGCAUCGAGGGAUUUGGAUUUGGAUUUGCUGGUUUUUAUUUAAUUGCAGGGAUUUGCAAUGUGUUGGUGCAUGGCGAGGGAAGGAGGAAGUUCAGGGAGUCUCGUGCAAGCGUGAGAUUUGCAGGGAGGAAGAAGAGGUUGAAGUUCUAUAGGGUGGGGACUGCUUUUUUUUUUUAAAAAAAAAUCAUUUUUUUUCUUCUUAGAAUUACAUUUCUAAAAAAAAAUAUUUUUUGUUUGUCCCAUAUGGCACAUUAUUGACUGCCACUUCAACAAAAUAGUGGGACAUGCAAUUGCCACACAAUUACUUAACAAUCAAAUUGGUUUGAUUGACAGUCGUAUGAAAUUGAAAUAAAAUAAUAAGUAAUGUACAAGAUUGAAAUGUUUUAAAGAUAUUGUUUGGAGUUGCAAUUGCAAUCAAACUAGAGAGUGCAAACUGUAAUUUACUAAAUAGCAUAAACAAGCAUCACCUGAAAGCUUGAGGGGACAAUGAUAGCUUUGGCACAAUAGGUUAUUCUUGUUGAAAAUGUUAGUCAACUCUUUAUAUUACUAUGACUAUUUGUGAUAUUUUGUUUGGGUUUUUUUUGUUGUUUAAGUAAGACAAGGAUUAUGAUUACUUUGUUUAUUAUUAGUAAGGUUUAAGAUUGAUUAGGAUUAACAAGCACUGAAUUGUCCUUGUGGUUAGAACAUUUUUUUUCAAUAUGUGUCUCAGGUGCAAACCAUUUUCCUUUCCAUCUAAUAAAUUAACGUAUAAUAUAGCUUCUAAUCAAGAGAGUGGUUAGGAUAUAUUAGAUCUUCUUAAAUAUUAAAAACAUCUUUUACAACUUUGUAAAUUAAAAACUUGGCAAGAUGUAGUUUUUUUUUUUUUUGGUUUUUCGAAAUGUAAAGUCAACUUUCAUACUUUAAUGGCAAUUUAGUAAUUUCACACCUUUAGUAUUACAAAAUACGUAAAAAUAAGGACGGGGUUUCACAAAACAACUAGCUUUAGCCAUAUUAACAUGU
rnacentral:lncRNA from 1 species